rnacentral:ncRNA from 1 species
AUCUUCGGGGCGGGGUGCGAUUCCCCACCGGCGGUCACAGUCCGCGAGCUCCUUUACAGGGGUUGAUCCGGUGAAAUUCCGGAACCGACGGUACAGUCCGGAUGGUAGAAGAUU